AAGACCUUUAAGUCAAGUCUUAUUUUACACGUUAAAACUUUAUCACUUCACUUCACGACACUUUUAAAUUGUUUUGAUAGUAUUUUUAAUGUAUUUAUAUAUGGCUUUAUAAGUGUUUUUGUCUUUUAAUAACUGUUCAAGUGGCGGCGGGCGGGAUGAAGAAUCAAACUUAAUUUUCAGUUCACACAGUUCACUAGCCAACACUAAUCUGUCAAGUAAGAAGGUUUGACAGUUAAAAAUAAGAUGCUCCAUCAUGCUCCAUGGUUCCUUCUUGUGAUUCACAAUGGGGGCACGUAUUACUUGUAAUAAUCCCAAGUCUAGCAAGGUGUGACGGUGCAGUAUUAUGGCCAAAGCGCAAUCUAUUUAACGUAGUGAUAAAGUCUCGGCUGGCUUCUUUCAGUCUAUUGUACCAGGGUCUAACAGGAAAUCAGUCAUCGGGAUUUCCAUUGCAUUUCUAACAUCAACAGCAUUAUUACCAUCAUAUGCGGUUUUAUCAACUAUUUCAUUGCCAGAGAUGCCUCGGUGAGAUGGUACCCACAGGAACGCAAUUUCGAUAUGCUUAAGCAAUAUUUUGGAUAAUGUUGGGGAAUUGCCACUCAAGAGAUCCUCUCCUGUUGUUAGUCUACCAGAAUUAGUAUUUACAAAAGGUACAAUUUUAUUUUUUAUUUUCUUGUUAUUUGCAGCAAUUAGCUUAAGACAGAAUCUCCCUGCAAGUAGAAUACGUCUCAAAAUUAAGGGCAUCAAUUUAGUCUCUACUUCCAUGGCCCUUAUGGGAGUAGAGCACAUUGCACCAGAAAUUGUUCUCAAAGCUCUGUUCUGCAAGAGAUCUAAUUUAUUUACAUGAGUACUAUUUAUAUACACUAGAGAACUAUAAUCGAAAUGACUCCUAACUAUACUUUUGUACAAAAUUGACAAUAUUUUCGGGUCUGCCCCCCAUGAAACACCUGCGAGACAUUUCAUUAUGUUUAAGCCUUUUAGAGCAUUCUUUGAUAUGUAUUUAAUAUGUUCCUCGAAAGUUAAUUUUCUGUCGAUUACUAUGCCUAAAAAUUUCUUUGAAUUUACUGUGUUUAUAAUUUCUCCAUUAUAAAUUACUUUUGAAUUUGUAUUUUCAUUUCCAAAUAUCAUGACACUGCUUUUGGAGGGGUUAAUUUUUAAAUGCAAUACAUCAUUAUAGUAGUGGAAUAGUUCAGACAGGGCUUUGUUAAUAUUGUCAAUCGCAAUUUCUACAUUAUAAUUACUAGUGUACAGAACAAUAUCAUCUGCAAACUGCAGAAUUUCUACAUUACUAUUUACAAAUUUACAUAUUUCACUUGUGUAUAUAUUAUAUAGCAAAGGAGACAGUGUAGCACCCUGCAUAGUACCUCUAGAUGUAGAUUUUGGACCAUACAAUGUAUUAUUGUGCCUUACAUAGACUGUUCUAUUUUUUAAGAAGUUAAAUAUCCAUUUACACAGCUGACCAGGCACGCCCAACCUAGACAUAACUUCUACAAGUAUAGUCGGAUCUAAACUGUCAAAUGCACCUUGAACAUCUAGAAAUACACAAACAGUGUUUAACUUUCUAUCUUUUGCAUGUUUCAGGUCAAAGAUUAAAGAAGUGAAGCUGUCAGCACAACUUCGUCCUCGACGAAAUCCAUAUUGAACAUGUGGAAUGAUGCUGUUAGAUUCCAUAUACCAAUCUAAACGAUUUUUGAUCAUGUUUUCAAAUAUUUUUCCUAGACAUGAGGAGAGUGAUAUUGGUCUAUAAGAGCUGGCCAACUUUGCUGGUUUAUCUGGUUUGAGUAUUGGAAUGACACAUUGUGUUUUCCAUGACUGUGGAAUACGUUUACAAUGCCAAAGGAGAUUAAGAACAUUAAGAAAUAUUUUUUGCGCAGAUUCAUCUAAAUUUUAAUAAUACAAUAUGGAA